rnacentral:rRNA from 1 species
GCUGGCGGCAGGCCUACACAUGCAGUCGAACGGUAACAGGAAGAAGCUUGCUUCUUUGCUGACGAGUGGCGGACGGGUGAGUAAUGUCUGGGAAACUGCCUGAUGGAGGGGGAUAACUACUGGAAACGGUAGCUAAUACCGCAUAACGUCGCAAGACCAAAGAGGGGGACCUUCGGGCCUCUUGCCAUCGGAUGUGCCCAGAUGGGAUUAGCUAGUAGGUGGGGUAACGGCUCACCUAGGCGACGAUCCCUAGCUGGUCUGAGAGGAUGACCAGCCACACUGGAACUGAGACACGGUCCAGACUCCUACGGGAGGCAGCAGUGGGGAAUAUUGCACAAUGGGCGCAAGCCUGAUGCAGCCAUGCCGCGUGUAUGAAGAAGGCCUUCGGGUUGUAAAGUACUUUCAGCGGGGAGGAAGGGAGUAAAGUUAAUACCUUUGCUCAUUGACGUUACCCGCAGAAGAAGCACCGGCUAACUCCGUGC